AGCAGCAGCCGCGGUAAUACGUAGGGCGCAAGCGUUAUCCGGAAUUAUUGGGCGUAAAGAGCUCGUAGGCGGUUUGUCGCGUCUGCCGUGAAAGUCCGGGGCUCAACCCCGGAUCUGCGGUGGGUACGGGCAGACUAGAGUGAUGUAGGGGAGACUGGAAUUCCUGGUGUAGCGGUGAAAUGCGCAGAUAUCAGGAGGAACACCGAUGGCGAAGGCAGGUCUCUGGGCAUUAACUGACGCUGAGGAGCGAAAGCAUGGGGAGCGAACAGGAUUAGAUACCCCGGUAGUCCCUGUCUCUUAUAC
rnacentral:rRNA from 1 species